rnacentral:snoRNA from 12 species
AUGAGACUAUUAUUACUGUUCUGGUUUUCUAAUAAUCAGGACAGGCUAAACAUUUACUACGUUAAGACCAUGCAUGUGUCUCCAGAAAUCGUUCUUUUCCUAGGUUUAGUUUUAUAAAUGAUGGUGAUAAAC